UUCCUUCACUUCUAUCUUUAUUUAUUUUUUCCUUUUAGCGCUGCUGCUUCAUUGCAAUGGCCGCGCCCGCCGACCGUUAGAUCUACCUCAUCACGCUGCCCACCUGGUGUACAGCCACAUCUCUUUUCGCAUGUGUUAUUUCGUGUAAUACCAUUGUCGUCAGGUUCCGCUGCCCUGGCCGACAUAAAACAGACGACCAUUCGAGCGUUUUGUGCAUCGCUUUUCUACGCUUCAUCGAGUUGAUAGCAAAGUCAAUUGAUUCUAAUCCUGUUGAUGAUACUCUGAAAUUGAAUGGUCCCUUCUUCGAAAUUUUUUUUGUUUCUUUCUGAUAACAGUAAAAAUAUAUUUUUAAAAAAGCUAUUUCCCACGAAGAUUGCGCUGAGAAAAGAAAUUACGUUUCCAGAUUUGAAAACAAAUUGAAAUGUUUUUUUGUUGUUGUUGUUGUUUUCAAAUCAAACAACAUCCGUCAAUCCGUCCAAUGGACAAAGACAAAGAUAACGGAUGGUAUUCUCUUUGCGUCUUCAACUUUGUUUCACCGAAAGAAAAAAAAAAAAAAGUGUCGACAGAGCCAUCUAUCAUCAAAGACCCGACACUCUGACAGCAUUUUGACAUUGUACACAUACCGAAUAGUCGACAAGGACCUGGGCCGUCGUGGGCGUUGCAUUGACGGGCGAACGAGGUAGACCUUCAUCAUCUUCGGCUGAACGAUGUCUUCCACCAAUGGCUGCUCUCAGCUCGCUCUAAUCCAUUCAAAUGUAUUCAAAUCAUCACUAAAUCGAGAAGAAAAAAAGCCAAAAUACAUCUUCUUAUGUUCAA